rnacentral:rRNA from 1 species
CCACCCCCGGGAGAUCAUUCAAAGAUCAACUCCGACGCUGCAGUUUCACGGGCAGGGCGUUAUGGUGCUGUUGGGGUGAUUUGCCGUGAUGCGGAAGGACUCUACCAGGGGGCGUCAGCAAUGGUGUUCGGGAACAUUGAAGACCCGGAGGUGCUGGAAGUACUUGGCAUCCGAGAGAGCUUAGCACUAGCUCAUGAUCUAUAUAUCCAAAAGGUGGCUGUGGCUUCAGAUAGCAAAGUUGCAGUGGAGGCAAUUGAGAAGGGUACUUUAGCUGAGUACCAAGCAGUGGUGCUGGAGACAAAACAGUUGUCUAGAAAUUUCAAUUCUUGUAUUUUCUCUCAUGAGUUUAGAACCUCGAAUGUCGAGGCCCACAAACUUGCAAAGCAUGCCUUAACUCUAGGGACCAGCCGCUAUGUUUGGUUAGGCCACCCUGGAGAGCUUAGUUGCAUGAUCUCAUGGUCGAAAGAACAUGUAUUUGACAUUAAGAAAGCAGUAGCAAUAAACUGA